rnacentral:tRNA from 1 species
UAUAUUUAGGUGUAUGAUGCACAAAGAUUUUUGAUAUCUUAGGGAAUAGUUUAAAUCUAUUAAAUGUAA